rnacentral:rRNA from 1 species
UACGUAUGGGGCAAGCGUUAUCCGGAUUUAUUGGGUUUAAAGGGAGCGUAGGUGGAUUGUUAAGUCAGUUGUGAAAGUUUGCGGCUCAACCGUAAAAUUGCAGUUGAAACUGGCAGUCUUGAGUACAGUAGAGGUGGGCGGAAUUCGUGGUGUAGCGGUGAAAUGCUUAGAUAUCACGAAGAACUCCGAUUGCGAAGGCAGCUCACUGGACUGCAACUGACACUGAGGCUCGAAAGUGUGGGUAUCAAACAGG